CGACGCCGCGUGAGGGAUGACGGCCUUCGGGUUGUAAACCUCUUUCAGCAGGGACGAAGCGAGAGUGACGGUACCUGCAGAAGAAGCACCGGCCAACUACGUGCCAGCAGCCGCGGUAAUACGUAGGGUGCGAGCGUUGUCCGGAAUUACUGGGCGUAAAGAGCUCGUAGGCGGUUUGUCGCGUCGUCCGUGAAAACUUGGGGCUCAACCCCAAGCUUGCGGGCGAUACGGGCAGACUUGAGUACUGCAGGGGAGACUGGAAUUCCUGGUGUAGCGGUGAAAUGCGCAGAGUCAAGAGGAACACCGGUGGCGAAGGCGGGUCUCUGGGCAGUAACUGACGCUCAGGAGCGAAAGCGUGGGUAGCGAACAGGAUUAGAUACCCUGGUAGUCCACGCCAUACACGGUGGGCGCUAGGUGUGGGUUUCCUUCCACGGGAUCCGUGCCGUAUCUUACGCAUUAAGCGCCCCGCCUGGGGAGUACGGCCGCAAGGCUAAUACUCACAGGAAUUGACGGGGGCCCGCACAAGCGGCGGACCAUGUGGAUUAAUUCAAUGCAACGCGUAGAACCUUACCUGGGUUUGACAUAUACCGG
rnacentral:rRNA from 1 species